GAGUUUGAUCGUGGCUCAGAUUGAACGCUGGCGGCAGGCCUAACACAUGCAAGUCGAGCGGUAGAGAGAAGCUUGCUUCUCUUGAGAGCGGCGGACGGGUGAGUAAUGCCUAGGAAUCUGCCUGGUAGUGGGGGAUAACGCUCGGAAACGGACGCUAAUACCGCAUACGUCCUACGGGAGAAAGCAGGGGACCUUCGGGCCUUGCGCUAUCAGAUGAGCCUAGGUCGGAUUAGCUAGUUGGUGAGGUAAUGGCUCACCAAGGCGACGAUCCGUAACUGGUCUGAGAGGAUGAUCAGUCACACUGGAACUGAGACACGGUUCAGACUCCUACGGGAGGCAGCAGUGGGGAAUAUUGGACAAUGGGCGAAAGCCUGAUCCAGCCAUGCCGCGUGUGUGAAGAAGGUCUUCGGAUUGUAAAGCACUUUAAGUUGGGAGGAAGGGCAGUAAAUUAAUACUUUAGCUGUUUGACGUUACCGACAGAAUAAGCACCGGCUAACUCUGUGCCAGCCG
rnacentral:rRNA from 1 species